AUGGAGGGCUGGUUAAGUUUGUGUUUCAUAGCUCUAUGCACGCUUGUGGCCCUUUGGUUUCGCAAGCUCUCCGGGGGCAAGAGAAAGCCACAGCUUCCUCCCGGGCCAUGGACUCUUCCCAUCAUCGGCAGCUUGCACCACGUCGCCAGCGUCCUCCCUCACCGCAGGAUGAUGGAGAUGUCUCGCCGGCAUGGGCCGCUGAUGCAUCUUAUGCUCGGCGAGGUCCCCACGGUGAUCGUCUCCAGCGCGGAGGCGGCGGCACUGGUGAUGAAGACCAACGACCU
rnacentral:rRNA from 1 species